rnacentral:tRNA from 1 species
UCCUAGGUGGCCUAGUGGUUAGGAUUCUUGGCUCUCACCCACGCGGCCCGGGUUCGAUUCCCGGUCUGGGAA